UUCCGGGCGGCCCCUGGUGGUGAAGGGGGCGCUGCGGCGCGCAGCGGCGAGCGCAAGGAAAGGGGCUUGGCGAACCGCCCCAAAGAGGCCGAGACCCUAGUCGCGUCCGCAGCAAUCCUUAUCACGCCCGGAAGCUUCCACAGUACCCCGGAACCACCCGAACCCCAAAGUGUAGGCAGGAUACACUCUUCAGGGGGUACAACUUUGGCAAGAGGAUGAAAGAGGCGCAGGGAACCAAAGAGCCAAGGAGGAUGAAGGCACCCUGUGACACCACUGCGUAUAAACGCAGGAGCCAGAAUGGCAUGGAAGGACAUGCUGUAAGGAAAGGCUUCAUUCCGUGGGGCGCAAUACCAUUCUGUGGGACUUCGAUGGCCUUGAGGCUGACUUUGACCUUGUGAUCCUCCUGCCUCAGCUUCCUGAAUCACUGGGAUAUAAGCCUUUCCAAUUAAUCUUGGAAUGAGAGCCCAAGGCAAGAAGCCAGCAGUGCCCGAGGAAUGCUAAAGAGCAAACUGAUCCAGAGAAACAAAUGCCAGCGAGGGACCCCACAGCAGAGAGACAGACACUGUGAGCAACGCUCCUGUUACCAUGAGGCUUGCGAGGCGUGUGCGCGGGUCUCCGCAUUGGCACCAUCUGCCAAUUCCUCAGGAGGACAGAACAAACCAGCGAGGCAUGAAGAUUAGAUUAUGUAACGCUCGAGGAUUGCUGUUUUCAAAGAGGAAACAAAUGGAACGAAUUGAUUUGCUUGUCAAAGUCAUGUCACUGAAAGAGACCCGUUCCCUCCUUUUCUGAAGGACCUCAUUAAACAGGGGAAUGAUUUCCCAGACUCACAACGCGAGAGACCAAAAUCCACUCCAUUCAUAAGAGCAGGUGCAAUUUCCAGAGUCGCAGGGAUGAAUCCUAUUCUGGUCUUCCUGCUUGAAAAAAAAAAAAAAAAUGACCGUGCAGCUGCUACCUAAAGGGCACCAACAUGGCAGGGAACAUAACUGGCAGUUGCUAGCCAGAAGAUCCAGAACCCGUGUGCUUUGCCUCUACUCUCUUACUUCCAGGGAAGCAGCAUCUAAUUUUGAGACCAGUGGGGACAUAUUUACUAUUCAGAGCUCUAAACAAGUGCUUUGAUAGACUGGGGACGCGUUCUUAAAAAUACAAGCAGGAAGGAGAAUGAGAUGCUUUUCUGGGACCCCUCUGUCAUUGCUGGGCUUCUCAGAAUUGCUUUGUGUAGUGUAUGCAGUAGAAACAAAUCAAUGCAAACCCCAAGCUUGCUGCCAUGGUCCUAUCCCCCCCCAGGUUUCCCUGCCUUGCUAAGACACAAAGAUUGAAAUAUCAAGUCUUUAUUCAACAUGUAAAUGAAACCUGUUGUACUGGAUAUUUUCCAUUUGCUCCUCCAGACCUACUUGUCUAACCUUCUCUGUCCUGCCCUUUGCCCUGGGGUGCUGACCUAUAUGAAUGACACCAACUUGCUGCACUGCCCUCUAGCUUUGUUGGGUAUAGCCAAGGGGAGACAGCAGCAGGAAACUGAAAGACACAAGGAAUAUGAGGUUAGCUGGGCAUGAUGACACACACCUGUCAUCCCUGUGGCUCGGGAGGCUGAUGCAGGAAAAUCUCGAGUUCAAAGCCAGCCUCAGCAAAAGUGAGGCGCUAAACAACUCAGUGAGGCCCUGUCUCUAAAUAAAAUACAAAAUAGGGCUGGGGAUGUGGCUCAGUGAUCCAGUGCUCCUGAGUUCAAUCCCCAGUACUCCCUACCCCCCCAAAAAGGAGGAUAAGGUUGACAUAACUCUUCCCCAACUCCCUCCCUGCCAGAUCAUCUUAGGUUGGUUGUGUCUUUUGAUAAAAGAUCACCCCUUCUUCUCAAGGUUGUCCUUCCCACACAACCCUCUUUUAAUGGAUUCUAUAAAUCUCUCCCUCCCCUCAACCUUCAGAUCUAGGAGUGGUAAAGGCUAUUACUAGUCCCCUGGGUACUACACAUAACCUUAUGGUUUCCCUGUGCCCUGCCCAAACCUUGCAGAUAGUCUCUUUAUUAAAUCCUCCUCUAAUUAUCUACUUUGAGUGUGCCAUCUGUUUCUUAUACAGACCCUGCCUGAUAUACCUACCACACGUAUCAGUAUGUUGUAGGCCCAACACCAUGGUAAAAAAAAAAAGGAACAAAAUUAAUAAUACAAUAUGCUACCACUUUAUGUAGUUAUUCUGCAUGUUCACCUCUUCCCAAAGCUAUAAUAACAACUUAAAGAUAAAACCUAAUUCCUCUUUACAACAUAAUUGUGCAGUAGAGUUUGUAUGAGCUAAAUAUAAUUCAGAGAACAAGCUUUCUCAUGCCAUCAAAAUUCAUGUUAACAACUAUAAAGAGAAAACUCCAGAACUGAUUCCCCUGACUUGAAAUUUAGCAGAAAUAUCUUCCAGUAUUUAAAUCAACCCAACAACUAUUUGAAAGUCUACUAUUGUGGCCAGCAAGGUGGUGACCUAACAAUGGGGAACAACGGAGAUGUGAAUCCAACUUUGUGGAAUGGGGUCUUAUUUUAUGCAAUAAAUAUGCAUCCAAAAAGUGAAAUGCAAAUUUCAUUUCCAUAAAUCGAUUAAUAUGUUGUAUGAUCACGAAGAGCUUACUAUUUGCAUAAUAAAUUUAAAAUUUUUUU